rnacentral:lncRNA from 1 species
AUUCUGGAGCUGUUAGGCUGAUGGCUCUGGCUGAAGGUCUCUCAGGGAGAGUCAAGGCAUGAGGCAGGCCUGCCAGCAACUGAAGUCCCAUGGACUGUGCUUCCUCAAGACUCACACCUUCCACAGCUGAAUGAUGGCGACCCGCUGACCGGUGCUGCUGAUGCGCUGAUAUAUUGAUGCGUUACCUCGUGACACACGUUAUUAAAGAGGAAUUAAGGGCUGUGCUGUUGCCUUCCCUCUGGAAGUCAGUGUCCCUAACUAAGCCCUCCUGUCUGCCCACACGUAGAGGCUGGGGACCAGUCCUUGCCAAUGGAAUGUGAAAGAAGUCUUUCUGCAUCACCCAAGAGGUAA